UUUUACUUAUGAGCUGCAGCCACCUCCUCCUUCCUCAGGUCCUGGUGGCUCUGUGGUCCUCCUCCAUUUAUAGUUCACCCCUUCUGGUACUCACAAACACUGUGUCUGUUGGACAGUAUUCAUCCCCUCCUCAGCUCCAAGUGACUUCCUUUUCUGGCACGGUAUAUGUAAUGUCAUGCUGUCACCGCUGCUGAAGUGAAGAAGAGCCAUGAAGAGGAGCAGGCUCUGUGCAUCUUGAAGACAAGAUGAAAGGGGGCUGGAGGGACAAGAGAGGAAAGAGAAUUUGUCCUGGAAUGAGCCUGGCAGAUAUGGAAAUUUUCUUGUAUGUCACCACACUGAUGCAAAACUUUACCAUCAAGUCACCGGUCCCCCCUGAAGAGAUCUCAGUGGCACCAGUGGGAGUGGGACUUGCACACAUCCCUCCCAACUAUGAAUUUUGCCUUUUACCUCGUUCAUGUUUUCACUAAAAGGAUUAAAGAAUAAUUGUUUUUAAAUCUGAGAA